rnacentral:sRNA from 1 species
GCUGGGCGAGGUGGCGCACGCCUGUGAUCCCAGCAGCUUGGGAGGCUGAGACAGGAGAAUCACAAGUUCAAAGCCAGCCUCAGCAAUGGCAGGUGCUAAGCAACUCAGGGAGACCCUGUCUCUA